CUCCCUAUCCCUGCUCAGCUGGAAUUGUCUGACUACUUCAUUCUUGGUGUUCACUGCAAGCUAUAAGCUCUGUAACUGGUGCCCCUGGUGUGAUCGCCUUGAAUUUAUGGAUGAAGGCGAAGAGCUCAUCAGUUUUCGUGGAAUCCCGGCAUUUGCAGAUGGUUCUGUACUGCCACCCAACGACGCAUCUACAACCAGGGAAGAAGCUAACUUUGCAUUGGUUGACCAGCAUGCUUUAAGAAUUAAAGAAGGCGGAGAUGUAGGGGGUGCAGAACAACAUAUUUAAGCUUAUGUACAUGACAUUUGAGGUUGGGGUAUGGAAAAUUACUGAGGCACUGUGUAUGUUAUUUGUGCAUGGGAAUGAAACUUCUUGACCUUGAAAACAGGACAGGGAGUGGAGUGGUUGGUGUGAUAAGGAACGCUGAAAACAGCCUCCUGAGGAUGCAGUUUGAGUGUGUACAAGGUCACAGGUGCCUCAGUAACCCACCUCAAAUGACCAUAGUGGAUGUUUGUAGUUAAUACAAUCCCUUUCAAUAAAUAUUUGGUGGAUGGA